rnacentral:rRNA from 1 species
GUGGGGAAUCUUCCGCAAUGGACGAAAGUCUGACGGAGCAACGCCGCGUGAGUGAUGAAGGUCUUCGGAUUGUAAAGCUCUGUUAAUCGGGACGAAAGAGCCUAGUGUGAAUAAUGCUAGGAAGUGACGGUACCGGAAUAGAAAGCCACGGCUAACUACGUGCCAGCAGCCGCGGUAAUACGUAGGUGGCAAGCGUUGUCCGGAAUUAUUGGGCGUAAAGCGCGCGCAGGCGGAUCUGCCAGUCUGUCUUAAAAGGUCGGGGCUUAACCCCGUGAGGGGAUGGAAACUACAGAUCUAGAGUAUCGGAGAGGAAAGUGGAAUUCCUAGUGUAGCGGUGAAAUGCGUAGAUAUUAGGAAGAACACCAGUGGCGAAGGCGACUUUCUGGACGAAAACUGACGCUGAGGCGCGAAAGCCAGGGGAGCGAACGGGAUUAGAUACCCGAGUAGUCC